CCUUGUAAUGCAUUCAGAGUAUUCGACAGAUUCUGGUCACAGAGUCAUGGUGUUUAUACAACAAACGAAGUCCACACUUCUUCACUUUUUCAGGAAAAGUUAACUUAAUGCACCCAUAGUCAUUUGGUGUUUUUCCAUUUGCCUUCAAUUUAUCCAAUAAGCCAGUAAGAGGUACCAAGAAAAAAUGAAUAGCAGAUUGUGGAAAUUCUUCUGAAUGAUUGGAUAAGGCAAGUUUCUGGGUGAUACGCGUCACUGGCCUCUCAUCAUAACAAAUCAGGUGAACUAUUGCGUCAAUUAAUUUGCCAGUGUAACAUACAGCAAAUCCCAAGAAGUUAUCACUUACAUACCAAUUUUCAGGAAAUUUGACUGAUAUACUUCUACCAACUUCCCGAUGGUGGAACCAUCUUGGGAUAUUCCCUAUAAUGGUGAACACUCUUAGUGACAAGGAAUCUGAAGCAGAGAUGUCAUGCUGCAAUGCUGAGAUAUUCUGGAACAAUGAAUUAAAGAUCCAAUCAUUACUCCAAUCUGCACGUAUUGUAUGUAAUUGCCGUGGAAAUUCUGGCAGAUGUGUAAGCCUCUCGCAAUGUGAUAAGUCCAAGGUUCGAAGAGCACCAAGUUGGGCUAUGCUACGAGGCAAAUGCUCAAAAUU